GUGGUCUAGUGGUAGAAUAGUACCCUGCCACGGUACAGACCCGGGUUCGAUUCCCGGCUGGUGCAGUUGUCUUUUACCAACCUUUUUUUUUCCCGACAUUGUGACUGAAACCAGAAACAGCAGAGGUUUCUUGUUUUUGUUCCAUUUUACAUAGAAACCAUAACCAAACACGGGAUCCUUCUCUCCCGAGGUAAGCUCAGAGGCUGAUUGCAUGUAGCAGUUUAUGCGUUGCUUGCUUUCCUUAGUUCAAUGAUUUCUGUGAAACCGCUUUCAUUGUGUUGGCAAAAGGGUUGAUGGCUGCUGCAAAUGCUGGCUCAUUUGGAACUUGGGUUUUACAAGUACAGUAGAAGGGGAUGGAAUUUUCUGUUCUUCUAUAUAAGAAAUAGGACUUUUACCUUGGAAUGUAUGGUACUUUUAAGUCUUUGUGGUAAAUAUAUUUCAUCGGUGAAAGAGGGAGAGCGAACGGGGUUUCCAGCCAUAUAGGUGCAUUUAAGAAAUCCAAGGCAUAAAUUAAAACAGGCUUCCAUGGACUAUAUACAGCUAUGUCUUUUCUGGUAUCUCGAUUCGAAAUUCGGCAUUCGGGAUCAACUCGCCGGUAACAAAUCAGACCGUGCCAAUGCCGUGGUUCGUGUCCUCUACCAUGGUUUGCAUACUUAUGCACCCAAAAACCUUCUGUUAGAAAGACAUGAAAGGUUUUUUUGAAUAUCAAACCAGGGUAAAUAAAGAGUUAGGGAGAAGAAUAGUAAAGGCAUGAUCUUUAUAAUUCAUGUCUAUCCUCAACUGAUGCUUAGAUUUUGUGGAUCUUAUGAUAUGGCCAGUAAAACAAAUCUUUAAAUCUAAUUUAAGGUUUUCCUUUU